GUGAACGCUGGCGGUAGGCCUAACACAUGCAAGUCGAACGGCAGCACAGUAAGAGCUUGCUCUUACGGGUGGCGAGUGGCGGACGGGUGAGGAAUACAUCGGAAUCUACUUUUUCGUGGGGGAUAACGUAGGGAAACUUACGCUAAUACCGCAUACGACCUACGGGUGAAAGCAGGGGAUCUUCGGACCUUGCGCGAUUGAAUGAGCCGAUGUCGGAUUAGCUAGUAGGCGGGGUAAAGGCCCACCAAGGCGACGAUCCGUAGCUGGUCUGAGAGGAUGAUCAGCCACACUGGAACUGAGACACGGUCCAGACUCCUACGGGAGGCAGCAGUGGGGAAUAUUGGACAAUGGGCGCAAGCCUGAUCCAGCCAUACCGCGUGGGUGAAGAAGGCCUUCGGGUUGUAAAGCCCUUUUGUUGGGAAAGAAAAGCAGCAGGUUAAUACCCCGCUGUUCUGACGGUACCCAAAGAAUAAGCACCGGCUAACUUCGUG
rnacentral:rRNA from 1 species